rnacentral:rRNA from 1 species
AGGGAUCAUUACCGAGUUUACAACUCCCAAACCCAAUGUGAACCAUACCAAACUGUUGCCUCGGCGGGGUCACGCCCCGGGUGCGUCGCAGCCCCGGAACCAGGCGCCCGCCGGAGGGACCAACCAAACUCUUUCUGUAGUCCCCUCGCGGACGUUAUUUCUUACAGCUCUGAGCAAAAAUUCAAAAUGAAUCAAAACUUUCAACAACGGAUCUCUUGGUUCUGGCAUCGAUGAAGAACGCAGCGAAAUGCGAUAAGUAAUGUGAAUUGCAGAAUUCAGUGAAUCAUCGAAUCUUUGAACGCACGUUGCGCCCGCCAGUAUUCUGGCGGGCAUGCCUGUCCGAGCGUCAUUUCAACCCUCGAACCCCUCCGGGGGGUCGGCGUUGGGGAUCGGGAACCCCUAAGACGGGAUCCCGGCCCCGAAAUACAGUGGCGGUCUCGCCGCAGCCUCUCCUGCGCAGUAGUUUGCACAACUCGCACCGGGAGCGCGGCGCGUCCACGUCCGUAAAACACCCAACUUCUGAAAUGUUGACCUCGGAUCAGGUAGGAAUACCCGCUGAACUUAA